GUACAACGCUUACCACUAUGAAUUACACAAACAUUACAAGAAAUUUGAUUCGCAUGAGGAGGCAUUAGCUGGUCGGAAGGAAUGGGUGGAGCCACACGUAUGGGAGUGGCUAUGUGAAAUGUGGGCCAGCCCCAAAUUCAAGGAGCAAUCUCGUAGGAACAGUAACAACAGGAAAAAACAGAAGAUUAAACAUACAAGUGGGAGGAAAUCAUUUGUUAGGCUUAUGGAAGAGAGGGGUGAGGAGGCUUGUAAUAUGAUAGAGUUUUACAAAGAAACACACUGGUCCAAUAAGAAGGGUAAAUGGAU